rnacentral:tRNA from 37 species
GGGCCCAUAGCUCAGUUGGUUAGAGCAGCGGACUCAUAAUCCGUUGGUCCUAGGUUCAAGUCCUAGUGGGCCCACCA